rnacentral:rRNA from 1 species
AGUGAACGCUGGCGGUAGGCCUAACACAUGCAAGUCGAACGGCAGCACAGUAAGAGCUUGCUCUUACGGGUGGCGAGUGGCGGACGGGUGAGGAGUACAUCGGAAUCUACUUUUUCGUGGGGGAUAACGUAGGGAGACUUACGCUAAUACCGCAUACGACCUACGGGUGAAAGCAGGGGAUCUUCGGACCUUGCGCGAUUGAAUGAGCCGAUGUCGGAUUAGCUAGUUGGCGGGGUAAAGGCCCACCAAGGCGACGAUCCGUAGCUGGUCUGAGAGGAUGAUCAGCCACACUGGAACUGAGACACGGUCCAGACUCCUACGGGAGGCAGCAGUGGGGAAUAUUGGACAAUGGGCGCAAGCCUGAUCCAGCCAUACCGCGUGGGUGAAGAAGGCCUUCGGGUUGUAAAGCCCUUUUGUUGGGAAAGAAAAGCAGCAGGUUAAUACCCCGCUGUUCUGACGGUACCCAAAGAAUAAGCACCGGCUAACUUCGUG